rnacentral:piRNA from 1 species
UCCUUGGUUUUGACAAUGGUGUUCGGAAC